rnacentral:rRNA from 1 species
CCCUACUGCUGUCGGGAUGAGACUAAGCCAUGCAAGUUGCGCGCUUCCUAGCUAUGUUGGAGGAGCAGCAUACGGCUCAAUAACACGUAGUUAAUCUACCUUUAGGACAGGGACACCCCCGGGAAACUGGGGCUAAUAUCUGAUAGGCGGAAAUGCCUGGAGUGGUUUUCCACUUAAAGGGCUUUAGAAACAUGCUUCUAAGGUUGCCUAAAGAUGAGACUGCGGCCGAUCAGGUAGUUGGUGGGGUAACGGCCUACCAAGCCUAUAACCGGUGCGGGCCCUGAGAGGGGGAGCCCGGAGAUGGGAACUGAGACAAGGUCCCAGGCCCUACGGGGCGCAGCAGGCGCGAAACCUCCACAAUGCACGAAAGUGUGAUGGGGUUAUCCCGAGUGCCGUCCGAUGAGGAGGGCUUUUCCCCGGUGUAAGGAGUCGGGGGAAUAAAGGGGGGGCAAGACUGGUGUCAGCCGCCGCGGUAAUACCAGCCCCCUGAGUGGUAGGGACGAUUAUUUGGCCUAAAGCGUUCGUAGCCGGCUUAGCAGGUCCCGCGUGAAAUCCGGCGACUUAAUCGUCGGGCGUGCGGGGGAUACUACUAGGCUAGAGGACGGGAGAGGUCGACGGUAUUCCUGGGGUAGGGGUGAAAUCCGAUAAUCCCAGGAGGACCACCAGUGGCGAAGGCGGUCGACUAGAACGUGCCUGACGGUGAUGGACGAAAGCUGGGGGAGCGAACCGGAUUAGAUACCCGGGUAGUCCCAGCCGUAAACGAUGCGGGCUAGGUGUUGGGGUAGCCACGAGCUGCUCCAGUGCCGCAGAGUAGUUAUUAAGCCCGCCGCCUGGGAAGUACGGUCGCAAGGCUGAAACUUAAAGGAAUUGGCGGGGGAGCACCACAAGGGGUGAAGCCUGCGGUUU